rnacentral:rRNA from 1 species
GACGAACGCUGGCGGCGUGCCUAAUACAUGCAAGUUGAGCGCUGAAGGUUGGUACUUGUACCGACUGGAUGAGCAGCGAACGGGUGAGUAACGCGUGGGGAAUCUGCCUUUGAGCGGGGGACAACAUUUGGAAACGAAUGCUAAUACCGCAUAAAAACUUUAAACACAAGUUUUAAGUUUGAAAGAUGCAAUUGCAUCACUCAAAGAUGAUCCCGCGUUGUAUUAGCUAGUUGGUGAGGUAAAGGCUCACCAAGGCGAUGAUACAUAGCCGACCUGAGAGGGUGAUCGGCCACAUUGGGACUGAGACACGGCCCAAACUCCUACGGGAGGCAGCAGUAGGGAAUCUUCGGCAAUAGACGAAAGUCUGACCGAGCAACGCCGCGUGAGUGAAGAAGGUUUUCGGAUCGUAAAAAUCUGUUGGUAGAGAAGAACGUUGGUGAGAGUGGAAAGCUCAUCAAGUGACGGUAACUACCCAGAAAGGGACGGCUAACUACGUG